rnacentral:rRNA from 1 species
UAGGGAAUCUUCGGCAAUGGGGGCAACCCUGACCGAGCAACGCCGCGUGAGUGAAGAAGGUUUUCGGAUCGUAAAGCUCUGUUGUAAGAGAAGAACGUGUGUGAGAGUGGAAAGUUCACACAGUGACGGUAACUUACCAGAAAGGGACGGCUAACUACGUGCCAGCAGCCGCGGUAAUACGUAGGUCCCGAGCGUUGUCCGGAUUUAUUGGGCGUAAAGCGAGCGCAGGCGGUUUAAUAAGUCUGAAGUUAAAGGCAGUGGCUUAACCAUUGGUCGCUUUGGAAACUGUUAAACUUGAGUGCAGAAGGGGAGAGUGGAAUUCCAUGUGUAGCGGUGAAAUGCGUAGAUAUAUGGAGGAACACCGGUGGCGAAAGCGGCUCUCUGGUUUGUAACUGACGCUGAGGCUCGAAAGCGUGGGGAGCAAACAGG